GAUGAACGCUGGCGGCGUGCUUAACACAUGCAAGUCGAACGGAAAGGCUCCUGCUUGCUGGGGUACUCGAGUGGCGAACGGGUGAGUAACACGUGGGUGAUCUGCCCUGCACUUCGGGAUAAGCCUGGGAAACUGGGUCUAAUACCGGAUAGGACCACAUUUUGGAUGGUGUGGUGGAAAGUUUUUCGGUGUGGGAUGAGCUCGCGGCCUAUCAGCUUGUUGGUGGGGUAAUGGCCUACCAAGGCGUCGACGGGUAGCCGGCCUGGGAGGGUGUACGGCCACAUUGGGACUGAGAUACGGCCCAGACUCCUACGGGAGGCAGCAGUGGGGAAUAUUGCACAAUGGGCGCAAGCCUGAUGCAGCGACGCCGCGUGGGGGAUGACGGCCUUCGGGUUGUAAACUCCUUUCGCUAGGGACGAAGCGCAAGUGACGGUACCUGGAGAAGAAGCACCGGCUAACUACGUG
rnacentral:rRNA from 1 species